ensembl:lncRNA
UUUCACAGCAUCAUCUUUUAGGAUUUGAAAUAGGUCAACUGGAAUUCUAUCACCUCCACUAGCUUUGUUUAUAGUGAGGAUUCUUAAGGCCCACUUGACUUCACAUUUCAGGAUGUCUAGCUCUAGGUGAGUGAUCACACCGACAUGAUUAACUGGGUCAUGAAGAUCUUUUUUGUACAGUUCUUCUGUGUAUUCUUGCCACCUCUUCUUAAUAUCUUCUGCUUCGGUUAGGUCCGUAUCAUUUCUGUCCUUUAUCGAGCCCAUCUUUGUAUGAAAUAUUCCCUUGGUAUCUCUAAUUUUCUUGAAGAGAUCUCUAGUCUUUCCCAUUCUAUUGUUUUCCUCUAUUUCUUUGCAUUGAUUGCUGAGGAAGGCUUUCUUAUCUCUCCUUGCUAUUCUUUGGAAGUCUGCAUUCAAAUGAGAAUAUCUUUCCUUUUCUCCUUUGCUUUUUGCUUCUCUUCUUUUCACAGCUAUUUGUAAGGCCUCCUCAGACAACCUUUUUGCUUUUUUGCAUUUUUUUUUUUCCCUUGGGGAUGGUCUUGAUGCCUGUCUCCUGUACAAUGUCAUGAACCUCCAUCCAUAGUUCAUCAGGCACUCUUUCUAUCAGAUCUAGUCCCUUAAAUCUAUUUCUCACUUCCACUGUGUAAUCAUAAGGGGUUUGAUUUAGGUCAUACCUAAAUGGUUUAGUGGUUUUUCCCACUUUCUUGAAUUUAAGUCUGAAUUUGGCAAUAAGGAGUUCAUGAUCUGAGCCACAGUCCACUCCAGGUCUUGUUUUUGCUGACUGUAUAGAGCUUCUUCAUCUUUGGCUGCAAAGAAUAUAGUCAGUCUGAUUUCAGUGUUGGACAUCUGGUGAUGUCCAUGUGUAGAGUCUUCUCUUGUGCAUGCGGGAUCUUAAUUCCAAAACCAAGGAGUGAACCCAAGCCCCUUGCAGUGGAAGCUGGGACCCCUGGACCACCAGGGAACCCCCCCCUAGGAACGUAGUCUUAAUCAGCCAGACUGGAAUGUUCUGGUCUGCACCCUGGUGGUAAUCCGUCUCCUGGGCCCUCUCCAUCCUUGGGAGGAAUAAGCAAUCUACAAGAGUGACACUUGCCCUGCUUCCAAAAGAAGUUUCUGUUUACAACAUCAGAUGCUGCCUGAUUCAUGA